CAGAAGAGCAGGAGCCUGGCCUGGGAGAAAGCUUUAGAAGAAGAAGGUGUCGGUGGGCUGCGGUGCCAGCCGGGGUGUGGGUACAGGGUACACCUGCGGCCGCUCGGGUACAGGGAGAGGGAGCGGCUGCAGCUGGCUCCGAGUGACUUUGGAAACCCUGAGACACGGCCUGCUGCCACAGCCGGGACUUGUGUUAACAUGGAUGUGCACCGCAGGCCAGAGCACAAUGAACUACAGGGAAUGGUAUAGAGUCUCAUGGUGAGAGUCAGAUCUUGUACCAGCACAGAGUUACAGUCAUUUCUAUGGAAAUUGAAGGUCUGAAGCUCGGGAGAAGGCAGAAACAAAUUUCCCAUCAGACAAGAAGAUGGUUCAAAGAGCCCAGAGGUAACCUCAGGGUGUUGUUCCCUUUGGAUCCUUCUCUGUGCACAGAGGACACAGGACCAGAUGAGCAAGACCUUGUUUUCAACUUUGAGGCAGAAUGUCAGCUGCCAGCAGCAAGUGCAACAUGCUGAGCUAAAGAAGAAGUCAUGCGUCGCGUCGCUUACUUACCGACUGCCUUUAGAGACGCGUACUUGUUAAGUUCUUUGCCUGGGGGCUGCUGCUCAUAUGGGUUUGUGAUCUGUCCCAGGCUGGGAUAUGAAUGUUGAUGUGCCAUCUGAGGAAGGAGGGGAGAUGUUGGCAUGACAUUAUUCAUCUGUGGUGGAUCUGUAUUAAAAAAAAUCAACAAGCAUUAAGUAAAAAGUAAAUUAGUCUUAAGGUUUUCACAUCAUUAUUGAUAGAUUAGACAGAAUAUGCCCUAUGAUUUAUUGCAAUAAAACAGUGUUUAUUACAAAGUGGGAGUUUGAGUACAGCAGACCUGUAUUUUGAACAGUUAAUGGUAUGAUUAAAAGCUGACAAGUAAUUAUGGAAACACACAAUAAUUUUUGUAUAAAAAGAUCUUUGAACUAAAAAAUAGGUUUUCAAAACAAUUGAACACCGACAAUACUGAAUUUGCUGCAGCAUUAAGAUACAAAGCAAAACAUGGAGUUUGUUCCAAGUUAGACUGAAUACAGGGCAGCAGAGUGGUUCUCUGCAGUAAAAGAGCCAGACUCAUUUAAAUUGGCUCAGGCUGCUGCACAUUCACAGUUACAUUGCUUUUAAAACCAGGAGCAGCUUUGUUAUUUGCCCAGCAUUAUGUUGUGUUCUGCAGACAAGCAUCACAGUGUAAAAUGUGAUUUUUUGUCUCAUGAUUAUCAUUAGAUGAUUUCUUCAAAGCACAUACUUCGUCCUUACAUUUUCUCCUCUCCCCUGACAUUGGGUAUUGUA